GAUGAAGGAGACUCCCAUUUGUUCAGAGUGACACCAGACUUUGGGCUUCUCAAGUCGAAGGAGCUCAGCAUCACCAGCUGCAGCCAGUGUCUCCAGAUCAGCUUUACUCCCAGUGAGGACAGAGAGUUCAGGGCUGUUGUGGUGAUCCAGUCUCCUCUGGUGAAACCGUCCCUCACUCUGCGGCUCCAGGGGACAGGAUCCUUUGACGAAGUGUACUGGACCAACUAGAUGUCCUUAUAACAUCACAGUUACCACCUGCUAUUUAACAUGCUCCCCUUAAAUCAUCUUGUUUAUAGGUCCUUUUGUAAAAAUGGAAAUAAAAAUCAAGAAUAA